rnacentral:misc_RNA from 1 species
GCAUUCUCUUCUUGGCAACAGGUACUACCAUGCCCUGUUUAAUUCAUUUGUCUCUUGUUUCAGUAAAUUUCUGAGCAUUAACUACUGUUUGCCUGUAGACUUUCUCCAUUCACAGUAUAACUUUAGUUCUUGUUGUGUAGACCCAGGAAAAAAACAAAAAAGUAACUCUACUUUUGUCUUGGAGUUCUUGAGACAAAUUUUUCAACACUUAUGUGUGAAUUGCAUUAUUUCCAGACGUAAGCUUACUAAUUAAUGCAACAAAUUCCACCUACAGAAAAAGAGCACAUAACGUAAAUUGAUGGCAAGAAUGAAUGAUUCUUAUUUAAAAUUAAUUAAAAAGAAAAGGUAGAACAUUGACAUCUGAGUCUAGUUCAAAUAAUUCUCAGUAGAAGGUGAUAGAUUCAAACCAUAUAUAUCACCCUUUAUUUGAAAAAUAAAAAACAACAAUAACGACAA